UACGAGGGGGGCAAGCGUUAUUCGGAAUUACUGGGCGUAAAGAGCAUGUAGGUGGCUAUAUAAGUCGAUUGUUAAAUCCCACAGCCUAACUGUGGGGCCGCGGUUGAUACUGUAUGGCUAGAGUGCGAGAGAGAGGAGUGGAAUUCUUGGAGUAGCGGUAAAAUGCGUGGAUCUCAAGAGGAACACCGAUGGCGAAGGCAGCUUCUUGGUUCGUAACUGACACUCAAAUGCGAAGGCGUGGGGAGCAAACAGG
rnacentral:rRNA from 1 species